CCUACGGGAGGCUGCAGUGAGGAAUAUUGGUCAAUGGACGAGAGUCUGAACCAGCCAAGUAGCGUGAAGGAUGACUGCCCUAUGGGUUGUAAACUUCUUUUAUAUGGGAAUAAAAUGUUCCACGUGUGGGAUUUUGUAUGUACCAUAUGAAUAAGGUUCGCUGACCUCGUUCCAGCAGCCGCGGUAAUUCGGAGGAACCGAGCGUUUUCCGGGAUUUUUGGGUUUAACGGGGGCGUAGGUGGAUUGGUAAGGCAGUUGUGAAAGGUUGCGGCGCCACCGUAAAAUUGCAGUUGAGAAUGGCAGGCUUGAGUACAGUAGAGGUGGGCGGAAUUCGUGGUGUAGCGGUGAAAUGCUUAGAUAUCACGAAGAACUCCGAUUGCGAAGGCAGCUCACUGGACUGCAACUGACACUGAGGCUCGAAAGUGUGGGUAUCAAACAGGAGUAGAUACCCCAGUAGUC
rnacentral:rRNA from 1 species